GUGAAAUGAGGUCAUUUACAGGAACAGCUCUGUAACUGGACACUGGUUACAGUGCAGCGGGGCUAAUACCAGACCUUUCCAAAUCCUUUGAACCAGAUGAUGGAGUUCCACCUGUUGGCCAAGGCGUGGCAGCUCUGGUCCAGCCCUGAGAGGCUUUCUGCUGAGAGCACCUGAGGUCCAGCUUUGUCCUGGUCGUGAUGUCCUAGCAGUCACCAAACAGAAAAGCAAGCCAGCCAAAGAACACAUUUGCACUUUGCCACACUGCGUGGGGCCAUAAUGUGGAGUCCUCAAGUGGAGGGGGACCCAAGGAGAUUGUGAGCUUUUGCUACCCCCCACUCCCCCAUAUGGAGGUAACUUCCUGGACUGUGGGUUCAGUUGUUUGCUGGGCGAAUCCCUUUGUCCUAAGGAAAA